CGAAAGCUCCGGAAAAGAAAACAUCUCCGCUCGCCCCGUCCCAGCCGCCACCGCUCCCCUGCCCUCCCCCUCCCCACCCUACCCGCAGCCGCUCAUCCGCCCCUCCCCAUCUAUCUCGAUCCCACCGCCCCACACCCCGGAGGAGAGGCAGCGACCGACGGGAUACGGCGUCGUGGCAUGAGGACGGCCCAAGCACCACCACGACGGCAACUCGCCGCUACCGUGGCAUGGACUGGCGUCCCAUCUCCAACUCCAAGAUAUGGCACUGGCUGCUUGGCGACGGAGAGGCUCGGCAUCCUGCACCACGAGAGCAGAUUGGGUCUUCCUAUGCUCGAUUCCAUUGCUGGACCGCUGGAGUGGGUACUGGGUGAUUUGGAGUUCGAUUUUGUUACGGAUGUGCGGCCCGUGGUAACAAUUAGGGAGAAGUAUUUAAUCUGUCGGCUAGGAUCUGCAUUGGAUUUUGAGAAUUAAGUGUGACCAAGCGGUGUAUAGUUGUCAAUCAAUUCCGUGAUUUGAAGUUUGCCCUUAAUUAGAAUCCUGAAACUCAAGAACGUGGGUUUAUGUAUUUUAAAUCAGUUACUUUGCACAACCAAGUCGAUAUUGUGUUUAAUUAGUAAUUAGUGAAAAAAUACUGCAUACAUAAUUAAGAAGUUACAUGAGCAGGUUUCAUUGUCAAGAUGAGGGCAUUGGCAUACAAACACAAUGCUCUGAAUAUUCUGUUCCUUACAAGCUCGUAUAUAUUACAUGCACCAUGAGGGAAGGAACACCGUCUGUGGAGUUACUUAUGACAGUACUUUUUUGGGUCGUUCAAUCAGCGGACUCUGGUAUAACUCCUGACAAAUUCUUGAAAUCUUUAAUCGUGGGUAUCAUUUAUCUUUUACACUCUUGUUUUCCUCACUUAUGUCUGUCCAGGAGUAUAGUCGAUCAAUUUGCUUGCUGACAUAUCUUUACGCGUAGGAAUUUCUGUGUUGCUGGUAUUACAACUUCAUGCUAUGGGGUGGGGAUACAAGUGUGAAAACUUGGAGAUCAAUAAAGGGACAAGUUGUUUAGCAUUUAUCUACCCACUCGGCAGUGAUUGCAUAACAUGGCCGGCAGAUCAUUGGUGUCUGCGCCAUCUGCUGGUGGAUGGCACAAGAGGUGUUCAAGCGAGUGAAUGACAUGUACGGCGUGGCGGCACAACCCUGUUUCGGGGAGAAAAGGACUGAGGCCCUAUAGGUAACAACACAUCAUUCAGCCACGCGAAACAAACUUGUUAAGUACCUCAUUGUUAUACUGCACACACUUUCCGUUUAAAAAAAAACUAUGAAUAGCUGCGGGAUAAAUUGUUCUUGUACAAACAAGGGGGUGGCUUUUCGAUACACUUUGGAGAAGACCCUGCUGUUAAAGAAGAUUAUGAUGGUACAGAGCACUCCGGAAACUAGAUACCAGACACCAACAUGAUUUGAUUGUCCAGUAUAUUUGAUGCUGCAAAACCUGGAAGCUGCAAAUGUAAUGCUGAACAUCUCAUUUCAAAGUAUUAUGUAAUGAUGUUUUUUUCUCUUUUAA